GAUGAACGCUGGCGGCGUGCUUAACACAUGCAAGUCGAACGAAGCUGUUAGAAGGAAGCCUUCGGGUGAAAUUUUAACAGACUUAGUGGCGGACGGGUGAGUAACGCGUGGAUAACCUGCCUUAUACAGGGGGAUAACGGAGAGAAAUUUCCGCUAACACCGCAUAAGACCACAGCACCGCAUGGUGCAGGGGUAAAAUAUUUAUAGGUAUAAGAUGGAUCCGCGUCCGAUUAGCAGUUGGUGAGGUAAAGGCCCACCAAGGCGACGAUCGGUAGCCGGCCUGAGAGGGUGAACGGCCACAUUGGGACUGAGACACGGCCCAAACUCCUACGGGAGGCAGCAGUGGGGAAUAUUGGACAAUGGGGGAAACCCUGAUCCAGCGACGCCGCGUGAGUGAAGAAGUAUUUCGGUAUGUAAAGCUCUAUCAGCAGGGAAGAAAAUGACGGUACCUGACUAAGAAGCCCCGGCUAACUACGUGCCAGCAGCCGCCGUAAC
rnacentral:rRNA from 1 species